GUGGGGAAUAUUGGACAAUGGGCGAAAGCCUGAUCCAGCAAUGCCGCGUGAGUGAUGAAGGCCCUAGGGUUGUAAAGCUCUUUUACCCGGGAUGAUAAUGACAGUACCGGGAGAAUAAGCUCCGGCUAACUCCGUGCCAGCAGCCGCGGUAAUACGGAGGGAGCUAGCGUUGUUCGGAAUUACUGGGCGUAAAGCGCGCGUAGGCGGUUUUCCAAGUCAGGGGUGAAAGCCCGGGGCUCAACCCCGGAAUAGCCCUUGAAACGGGAAGACUAGGAUCUUGGAGAGGUCAGUGGAAUUCCGGGUGUAAGGGUGAAAUUCGUAGAUAUUCGGAAGAACACCGGUGGCGAAGGCGACUAACUGGCCCGUUACUGACGCUGAGGGGGGAAAGCGUGGGGGGCAAACAGGAUUAGAAACCCUGGUAGUCC
rnacentral:rRNA from 1 species